rnacentral:rRNA from 1 species
ACGCUCGACACCUACGGAGGCAGCAGUGGGGAAUAUUGCACAAUGGGGGAAACCCUGAUGCAGCGACGCCGCGUGAGCGAAGAAGUAUUUCGGUAUGUAAAGCUCUAUCAGCAGGGAAGAAACUGACGGUACCUGACUAAGAAGCACCGGCUAAAUACGUGCCANNCGCGUAUAUNGCGGCGUGNGAGNG